ensembl:lncRNA
GAGGAAUUUUUUCAUUUCUCACCAAUGGCUUUGAGGGGCACUCGGAGAGUGACAUCUGCCCAGACCAAUAAGGGCCAUCCUAUCCCCCGCGUCCCCCCUCCCCCCACCUCUUAUCUCUUCAGAGCGGUAAAUAAGGAAACCGGCAUGGGUGGAUUCGGUUAAUUAGACGGUGCUGAACGAAGGGAAGGGUGCUGGUGAGGGCGCGGCGCGAGAAGGAGGCUUCAAGCUGCCACAACCCUCCCCCACCCCUCCCCGCGGUGGUUGCGACAGAACGGGUUCAGCCGCCAUCAUGUUCUAGCUUUCCCCUUCACCUCAGUACGCGACCGAAAAAGCGGCCUCUGUGGGGGUCGGGGGCGUGGCCCCGUGAUUGGCGCAGGCGUGCCAGCCAAUCUCAGCUCGCUCAACGGGAAGGUCCCGGCCAAUAAGAGGCAGCGACGGCGGCGAGGAGCGAAGGGGCGGGCCGAGGGCUUGACGGGCAGUCGCACUGGGCCAGUGGGAGGAGGGCGGUGGCGGCGCGUGGCCAAUGGCGUGCCCGAGGAGGCGGGUCCCCGGCUGUUUGUGUUGUGGCCGGGGCGGGGGGAGGGAGGCGGAGGGGGAAAGUUUGUUUAUUUUGUUUUGAGUUUCUGGGUCCGCGGCGCUCGCGGAGGUGAAGAGGGAGGGAGUCGCCCCCGCCCCCUCGGGCCGCGUCUCCCACGCCGUCUCCUCGGCCGGCGGGGACUCAGCCCAGCGCGCCGCCGCCGCCACCGGCUCAGCGAAUUUUGUUUUUGCACUGAAUGUAGCCUGGAUUGAUCCUCACGGGCUUCAAGAGCCCAGGGAUACUAUCAAAGGUGGGACAUGAAGAUUUGGUAAUGGAAGGGCAUGGCAAGACUCCGCCUCCUGGUGAAGAAAGCCAACAGUGAGUCAUGGUUUAUUUUGUGAAAGCGUCUUGUGACACAUUUUUGAAAUGCGAUUGUUAAGUCUAUGAAAAGCGUGUUUGGGGGGGCUGGAUGUGGGGGGAGUGUUUGUGUUGGUGAGUGCUCACCAGUGGCAGGGAGUGAGUGUGUUUGUAUUUACGGGCCUGCUAACCUGCACAAGGGAGAAAGCUGAGUUUUUCCCAUGGUUGACUAACCAGAAUUGGUAUUGUGUUUUAGCGAGGACUUCAUGGAUCAGAGUGUUCUAACCUGAGCCCAUGAACUUUGGUUUAGAUUACGGGUAGAAAUAGAAAACAGUGUGCCGUUUUCACCAGACAUGCCUGUGUGAAACCAGUCACCUGAGGAGGUGUUGGAAGAGCACUUCCUGAAAUUCUGUUCCGCUUAGUUAUGUGGCAAGGCUAAUCUUUGUCUUAAUAAUAAGACAUUUACAAUGAAAAGGAAUCAGUAUUAGAAGUGGUACCAUUUCUCUUAGAUAGCAUUUAGUGCAAUUCUUGGCAUCCCUUCUGUCUGUGGAACAAUUUGGCUUUAGAAAGAAGAGGGGAGCCCAGGGCGGUCUAUUUUCUAUGACAGGUGAGGUUUUCCCUAGUUAAAAUUGUAAGAAAUUCUACAGCAGAACAAACUGAUACUUUUGUGGAAGAAUAGUUAAGAUUAUUUCCAGAGGCCUGAAGUCACUACCAUAUGUUUCUGUUCAAAUGGAUGCUCUGAACAGUUUUUCUAAUUUGUAGAAUUUGCGGAAAGUCUUUCAAGAGAGGUCCUUCUCAUCUCCAGGUUAGUUUUGUUCUGUAGUGCUCAUCUAUGGGAGGUUAGUUUUACCUUGUUUUCUGACACUCUUUAAGAAAGAAGCACAGUCUGCUUCUACAGAAAAUUCAUUCCAUGGAAUUGGUUCUUUUUCUUGUGAGUAGAAACCUGGAUCUCU